GAUGAACGCUGGCGGCGUGCCUAAUACAUGCAAGUCGAGCGAACAGACGAGGAGCUCGCUCCUCUGACGUUAGCGGCGGACGGGUGAGUAACACGUGGAUAACCUACCUAUAAGACUGGGAUAACUUCGGGAAACCGGAGCUAAUACCGGAUAACAUGUUGAACCGCAUGGUUCAACAGUGAAAGACGGUCUUGCUGUCACUUAUAGAUGGAUCCGCGCCGCAUUAGCUAGUUGGUAAGGUAACGGCUUACCAAGGCAACGAUGCGUAGCCGACCUGAGAGGGUGAUCGGCCACACUGGAACUGAGACACGGUCCAGACUCCUACGGGAGGCAGCAGUAGGGAAUCUUCCGCAAUGGGCGAAAGCCUGACGGAGCAACGCCGCGUGAGUGAAGAAGGUCUUCGGAUCGUAAAACUCUGUUAUUAGGGAAGAACAAAUGUGUAAGUAACUAUGCACGUCUUGACGGUACCUAAUCAGAAAGCCACGGCUAACUACGUGCCAGCAGCCGCGGUAAUACGUAGGUGGCAAGCGUUAUCCGGAAUUAUUGGGCGUAAAGCGCGCGUAGGCGGUUUUUUAAGUCUGAUGUGAAAGCCCACGGCUCAACCGUGGAGGGUCAUUGGAAACUGGAAAACUUGAGUGCAGAAGAGGAAAGUGGAAUUCCAUGUGUAGCGGUGAAAUGCGCAGAGAUAUGGAGGAACACCAGUGGCGAAGGCGACUUUCUGGUCUGUAACUGACGCUGAUGUGCGAAAGCGUGGGGAUCAAACAGGAUUAGAUACCCUGGUAGUCCACGCCGUAAACGAUGAGUGCUAAGUGUUAGGGGGUUUCCGCCCCUUAGUGCUGCAGCUAACGCAUUAAGCACUCCGCCUGGGGAGUACGACCGCAAGGUUGAAACUCAAAGGAAUUGACAGGGACCCGCACAAGCGGUGGAGCAUGUGGUUUAAUUCGAAGCAACGCGAAGAACCUUACCAAAUCUUGACAUCCUCUGACCCCUCUAGAGAUAGAGUUUUCCCCUUCGGGGGACAGAGUGACAGGUGGUGCAUGGUUGUCGUCAGCUCGUGUCGUGAGAUGUUGGGUUAAGUCCCGCAACGAGCGCAACCCUUAAGCUUAGUUGCCAUCAUUAAGUUGGGCACUCUAAGUUGACUGCCGGUGACAAACCGGAGGAAGGUGGGGAUGACGUCAAAUCAUCAUGCCCCUUAUGAUUUGGGCUACACACGUGCUACAAUGGACAAUACAAAGGGUAGCGAAACCGCGAGGUCAAGCAAAUCCCAUAAAGUUGUUCUCAGUUCGGAUUGUAGUCUGCAACUCGACUACAUGAAGCUGGAAUCGCUAGUAAUCGUAGAUCAGCAUGCUACGGUGAAUACGUUCCCGGGUCU
rnacentral:rRNA from 1 species